CUUCGUACUCACUCUCGUAUAUAAUAUAAUGAGUUUUCUGGGUUUGACUUUUCCAGUAUUAUUAUUAUUAUUAUUAUUAUUAUUAUUAUUAUUAUUCGAAAGCGCGGGAAUCUGACAUUCAUUAUGUAGUUUCUAAACUAAAUGCGGAGUAACUGUGACAAUCGCUUCGGUGUGUACGAUGUGUAUAUGUACGUGUAUAGAAAGCCGGGGCUCCGGGACUCCAAUUAGCACUACGUACAACUUUUAUAAUUGUGUAACGUGUGUAGUAUGUACGCACCACGCAAAUAAUAUGUCAAGUUUACCGUCACUCGUAUCCAACCCAAAAGGGUUGUUACGUUGUUGUUUUUUUUUUUUUUUCUUUUUUUAUUCUCCUAACAGGUUGAUUAGAAUUUCGUCGUACACGGCGUUAUAUCCAAUAAACCCGGGACACCUAUACUCCGCAAGCACACGUUAUUACACGUCUGUAUCACCCUUAUCACCUAUAUCACAUUAUACACAGCGCACGCGAUACCCGAACCUGACAAUAAUUUUAUUCCGUUUGAUCGUCGUCGCACCGGAGUUAUAUUAUAUUCUGUAACAUAUUAUAAGUAUAGACUAUAGAUAUACAUUUUUUUUUUUUUUUUUUUUUUUUUUUUUUAACCCUCUAUAUAAGUUUAUAUUAUUAUUAUUAUUAUUACACGUGCGCAUAACGAUAUUUCGUAUUUCGCGAGUAUAUUUACGAGAAUUUGUUCAACUCUUCGUACGACGUGCUGACGAGGGAUGCUGACAUCGUUAAAAAAAAAUCCAUCGUUAUGCGGACGAAGGAAAAAAAGAUUUUACACAGUAUCACCGUCGGAAAAGCUAAUAAUAUUACGUAUACUGAAAUAUCGUUGUUGAAUAUUACAAUUAGUGAUUUUAAAUAGUGAGAUUCUACUGCAGCGUUGUUAAAAUUGUUUUUUUUCUUUAUAAUCCGAACGAAGAAUACAUUAGUUAUACUAUUAUGUAUUUCUUUUUUAUAUAUAUAUAUAUAUAUACCCGUAAAUAACCUUUUUAACAAAAAUCUUGAUC